rnacentral:siRNA from 1 species
AGAUUCCUCUCAACAGAUGUCGAA